GACGAACGCUGGCGGCGUGCCUAAUACAUGCAAGUCGAGCGGAUUCAUCCUUCGGGAUGGGUUAGCGGCGGACGGGUGAGUAACACGUAGGUAACCUGCCUGUAAGCCCGGGAUAACCCACGGAAACGUGAGCUAAGACCGGAUAAGUGAGAGGAAGGCAUCUUCUUCUCUGGAAAUGCGGGGCAACCUGCAACUUACAGAUGGGCCUGCGGCGCAUUAGCUAGUUGGUGAGGUAACGGCUCACCAAGGCGACGAUGCGUAGCCGACCUGAGAGGGUGACCGGCCACACUGGGACUGAGACACGGCCCGGACUCCUACGGGAGGCAGCAGUAGGGAAUCUUCGGCAAUGGACGCAAGUCUGACCGAGCAACGCCGCGUGAGUGAUGAAGGGUUUCGGCUCGUAAAACACUGUUGCCAAGGAAGAAGGAUGGGGAGAGUAACUGCUCUUCAUUUGACGGUACUUGAGAAGAAAGCCCCGGCUAACUACGUGCCAGCCGCCGCAGUAAGAC
rnacentral:rRNA from 1 species